rnacentral:rRNA from 1 species
CCUACGGGAGGCAGCAGUGAGGAAUAUUGGUCAAUGGGCGGGAGCCUGAACCAGCCAAGUCGCGUGAGGGAAGACGGUCCUAUGGAUUGUAAACCUCUUUAGGCGGGGAGCAAUGCCGGGCACGUGUGCCCGGAGGGAGAGUACCCGCAGAAUAAGCAUCGGCUAACUCCGUGCCAGCAGCCGCGGUAAUACGGAGGAUGCGAGCGUUAUCCGGAUUUAGUGGGGUUAAAGGGUGCGUAGGCGGAGUUUUAAGUCAGCGGUAAAAUGUCCGGGCUCAACCCGGGCCGGCCGUUGAAACUGGGGAUCUUGAGUGGGCGAGAAGUAUGCGGAAUGCGUGGUGUAGCGGUGAAAUGCAUAGAUAUCACGCAGAACUCCGAUUGCGAAGGCAGCAUACCGGCGCCCGACUGACGCUGAGGCACGAAAGCGUGGGGAUCGAACAGGAUUAGAUACCCUGGUAGUC